UACGUAGGGGCCGAGCGUUGUCCGGAGUUAUUGGGCGUAAAGCGCGCGCAGGCGGCCUCGCGCGCCCGACGUGAAAGCCCCCGGCUUAACCGGGGAGGGUCGUUGGGGACGGCGGGGCUUGAGGGCGGGAGAGGGUGGUGGAAUUCCCGGUGUAGUGGUGAAAUGCGUAGAGAUCGGGAGGAACACCCGUGGCGAAGGCGGCCACCUGGGCCGACCCUGACGCUGAGGCGCGAAGGCGUAGGGAGCGAACGGG
rnacentral:rRNA from 1 species